UGGGGAUUGGGCGCCUGUGAAGAAGGUGGAUAUAUAACAAUAACGGUUAUAUAUAUAUAAUAUAUACGGCACUUUCCCAACCACAAAAAAAUGUCAUCAGAUCAGGAAAUAGAAAGUGUAAGUAGCUUCCACGAUUGAUAUUACUAUAUGUAGGAUAUAGGAUGAAUGAGCAACUGACUCUAAUAAAAAAAUAAAAUAAAAUUUACCGGGAAAAAUAACAAAGCUAAUCUCCAAUAAAGUAUAUUCAAGUAGUCGUGGAAGGGUUUGAAGUUAUGAUUCAAACAAGGGAGGAAGAUGAAAACACUGUUAGAGAAAUUGUGUGAGAAUCAAGAUCUAUAAUUACUUUUCCUCACUCUCUCUCUCUUCAACCUCCACCACUAAUCUACUAUUAUUCAAUCGCCUCAGACCCCAAAACAACCCAGGAGAACUUUCACAAUGCAAUUCAACAACUCCUCCACCUGCUCUGCCGACCUUGCUACCGUCGGCGAGGACUUGCCGGUCGACUACGCCGACUGGCUUCCCAAGUCCCAUCCUAGCGACCGCAGAAGAGCCGGCGUCCUCCUCCACCCGACGUCAUUUCCCGGACCCUACGGCAUCGGAGAUCUUGGCGACCAGACCUUUCGCUUCCUUGAUUGGCUUCACGAACUGGUUCCUCUUGUUCCUCCAGGGAGGAAGGCUAAUGAAGAGGGUUUCCCAUACUCUGGACAGGUUGAAGCUCUGGCUUUUCCUCGCUUAUGUUGUAUCUUUUGUCUCUCUAGCGGCUUCAGUAGGUUUAUUAAUUCAAAAUUCAAUUGUGAAAACAGGCCCUUCAGCGUCAACAAGAACUGCAGGUGUUUUGCAGUGUGUGUUCGUGUUUAUCAGUGGACUGAUUUAUUGGACUUCUCAUUCUGAGUAAGCCGGGGCAAAUCAAAAUGUCUUACAGUUUGGAGCUGAAACUAUCACUUCAGGGAUUCUUUCAUGCACAACUUUGCUACUUCAGGAUUGGAUGAUUGAAACUAUAAGACAUUUUGAUUCUGGGUUGGGGGAGAUGAAGCUAUAUGUUACUUUUUCCACAUGUCCAGAUUUUGUUAUGUUCCUCUGCAAUUCCAUUGUGGGUAGGACCGCAAACGAGCAAGUCUGCUUUUGACUGUUUAACCUCGAGUUCCACAACCAAAAUUUUAAGUUUGAAUCAAGUUGAGAAUUAAUUUUGAUUUUGGUGUAUGUUUUUUUUUUAAGUACUGUAACAGUAAACAAUGGCAUAUUUGGUAAAAAUAUUUUGUUUUCUAAA